rnacentral:rRNA from 4 species
AAGUUGUUGCGGUUAAAAGCUCGUAGUUCGAGCUCAGUUCCGGACUGGCCGGGGAGGUCACCGCCCGGUGCUUCCCCGUCAGGCUCCGAACAGCCUUCGUGAGCGGAGGCCAAGCCGGUUCUGCCGGGGUGCUCUUUACCGAGUGUCCCGCGCGGCCGGCCAGUUCACCUUGAAUAAAUGAGAGUGCUCAAAGCAGGCUACUCUCGAAUACAAUGCCCGAAUGUUACCUGCAUGGAAUGAUGGAAGAUGAUCUCGGUUCCAUUUUAUUGGUGGUGGGAGCCCGAGGUAAUGAUAAACAGGGACUGUCGGGGGCAUCCGUACUACGACGCGAGAGGUGAAAUUCAGUGACCGUCGUAGGACGAACAACAGCGAAAGCAUUUGCCAAGAAUGUCUUCGUUGAUCAAGAACGAAAGUUAGAGGAUCGAAGGCGAUCAGAUACCGCCCUAGUUCUAACCCUAAACGAUGCUGACUAGCAAUUCGCCGUCGUUAUUCCCAUGACGUGGCGAGACGCCCCCGGGAAACCUCAAGUCUUUGAGUUCCGGGGGUAGUAUGGUUGCAAAACUGAAACUUAAAGGAAUUGACGGAAGGGCACCACCAGGAGUGGAGCCUGCGGCUUAAUUUGACUCAACACGGGAAACCUCACCAGGCCCGGACACCAGAAGGAUUGACAGAUUAAGAGCUCUUUCUCGAUUUGGUGGGUGGUGGUGCAUGGCCGUUCUUAGUUGGUGGAGUGAUUUGUCUGGUUAAUUCCGGUAACGAACGAGACUCUGGCCUACUAAAUAGUCGACGGGCGUUUUGGUGCAUGGGCCCCGUUCGACACAGUCUUCUUAGAGGGAUGAGCAGCGAGUAUAGCUGCAGGAGAUUGAGCAAUAACAGGUCUGUGAUGCCCUUAGAUGUCCUGGGCCGCACGCGCGCUACACUGAAUGGGUUAGCGGGUUGUCCUUCUCCGAGAGGAGCGGGAAAUCGCUUGAAAACCAUUCGUGAUAGGGAUUGGGGCUUGCAAUUGUUUCCCAUGAACGAGGAAUUCCCAGUAAGCGCAAGUCAUCAGCUUGCGUUGAUUAAGUCCCUGCCCUUUGUACACACCGCCCGUCGCUACUACCGAUUGAAUGAUUUAGUGAGGCCUUCGGACUGGCGGUCUUGGACUGGGGCGCCGGCGUUCUCCAGCAAUGGGGUGCCGGCGACCCGCCUAGACGGGCCGGAAAGAUGUCCAAACUUGAUCAUUUAGAGGAAGUAAAAGUCGUAACAAGGUUUCC